UUAAGACGAACUUUAAAAAACUUUAAAAAAUAAUGAUAGCAGGAAUGCUACACAGAAAGAGCAGCUCAGAAAUGAUGAAGCAUCUGACAUGUUGGUAUGUGGGGCCCCGAAUGGAAAUCUGCUUAGGGCCCCAAAAAGGCCUGGACCGGCCCUGUAAGACCUCGGGGUUUUCUUUCUSAUCACAACCCGGCGUGUCUCUUUAAAUGCCGCUGGCAGUAGGCGGAGCCAACAUGGCGGAGCGGCCGGCGUGACGAGGGAAACUUACGGAGCCAGAAGGAGGUGAGGAAGAGGAGGAGAGCGAGCGCCGUGGACAGCAGCAGGUAGCGGAGCAGCAGCGUCCGCCUGAGGGGAACCAUCAUCCGUCCUCAGAGUCCGAGUGGACGCCGUCGCUGCUUCACAUGCUUCCUGGACGCUAACACACACCUGCAGAGUAACGAAGACUUCAAUGAGCGCAGAAACUUGUUUGCAUCAGAGACUCCGGCGCCCCCUGUGGACAAACCUAAGAAAACACCUUGAAACGGAGCUGCUGUCUUAAACUCGUAAAGGAAAACAGAAAAAUGAAAACAGAACCUCCUUGUUUCCAUGUACACAUGUACUGAAACACGGCUAAAUAAAAUCUUAGCUAUGAUUACAGCUAAUAUUGUA